rnacentral:sRNA from 1 species
ACAACCUGCUUAGUAAUGUUGAAAAAGGGAUCGAGUGCUCCUGUGUCCAGCACCAGCUUGCAGUGCUUUAGAUCAAAGAUCAAGGGCCUCGUUUGGAUUAGGGUUAGCUUUGCCCAAAGGCCGUUUGGACAUGUGAGUGCUGCCUUUGUUCUUAAAGACAGGCAGGGUUUGGGAUCCCACAGCUUCACUUUGUAAACCAUUUUCGUGUCUUGCGUCUCCUGCUAAUCUUGAGUGAUCAUCACCAUGCUGGUCGCCACCGCCGUCUGCUGUUACCUCUUCUGGCUCAUCGCCAUCCUGGCGCAGCUGAACCCCCUGUUCGGGCCCCAGCUGAAGAAUGAGACCAUCUGGUACGUGCGCUUCCUGUGGGAGUGACCUGCCGCCCCCGACCCAGGUGCCCAGCUCUCGGAAUGACUGUGGCCCCACUGUCCCUGACAACCCCUUCGUCCGGACCCUCCCCCACACAACUAUGUCUGGUCACCAGCUCCCUCCUGCUGGCACCCAGAGACCCGGACCCGCAGGGCCUGCCUGGUUCCUGGAAGUCUUCCCAGUCUUCCCAGCCAGCCCGGGCC